rfam:Desulfotomaculum nigrificans CO-1-SRB chromosome, complete genome.
GCCAUCGUGAGGUGGAAUCUGAAAGAAGCUGGAAGCAAAUUCCCGACCUGAGGUACACGAAUCACAUUUGAGGCUGUUAUAUUCGGCUAAGUCGGCAGAAAUCAGCAGAGGCCAUAGUGCUCGUAAAAAGAGAAAGGCCGAAGGUCAGGGCAGGCUAAGAACGGUGCGUUC